GACGGAGGGGGCUAGCGUUGUUCGGAAUUACUGGGCGUAAAGGGCGCGUAGGCGGUUUGGUAAGUUGGAAGUGAAAGCCCGGGGCUUAACCUCGGAAUUGCUUUCAAAACUGCCAGGCUAGAGUGUAGUAGGGGAUGAUGGAAUUCCUAGUGUAGAGGUGAAAUUCUUAGAUAUUAGGAGGAACACCGGUGGCGAAGGCGGUCAUCUGGGCUACAACUGACGCUGAGGCGCGAAAGCGUGGGGAGCAAACAGG
rnacentral:rRNA from 1 species